rnacentral:rRNA from 1 species
GACGAACGCUGGCGGCGUGCUUAACACAUGCAAGUCGAACGGAAAGGCCCUGCUUUUGUGGGGUGCUCGAGUGGCGAACGGGUGAGUAACACGUGAGUAACCUGCCCUCGACUUUGGGAUAACUUCAGGAAACUGGGGCUAAUACCGGAUAGGAGCUCCUGCUGCAUGGUGGGGGUUGGAAAGUUUCGGCGGUUGGGGAUGGACUAGCGGCUUAUCAGCUUGUUGGUGGGGUAGUGGCUUACAAAGGCUUUGACGGGUAGCCGGCCUGAGAGGGUGACCGGCCACAUUGGGACUGAGAUACGGCCCAGACUCCUACGGGAGGCAGCAGUGGGGAAUAUUGCACAAUGGGCGGAAGCCUGAUGCAGCAACGCCGCGUGCGGGAUGACGGCCUUCGGGUUGUAAACCGCUUUCGCCUGUGACGAAGCGUGAGUGACGGUAAUGGGUAAAGAAGCACCGGCUAACUACGUG